rnacentral:rRNA from 1 species
UGGGGAAUUUUGGACAAUGGGCGCAAGCCUGAUCCAGCAAUGCCGCGUGCAGGAUGAAGGCCUUCGGGUUGUAAACCGCUUUUGUCAGGGAAGAAACGAGUUUCUCUAAUACAGAGACUUAAUGACGGUACCUGAAGAAUAAGCACCGGCUAACUACGCGCCAGCAGCCGCGGUAAUACGUAGGGUGCGAGCGUUAAUCGGAAUUACUGGGCGUAAAGCGUGCGCAGGCGGUUAUAUAAGACAGAUGUGAAAUCCCCGGGCUCAACCUGGGACCUGCAUUUGUGACUGUAUAGCUAGAGUACGGUAGAGGGGGAUGGAAUUCCGCGUGUAGCAGUGAAAUGCGUAGAUAUGCGGAGGAACACCGAUGGCGAAGGCAAUCCCCUGGACCUGUACUGACGCUCAUGCACGAAAGCGUGGGGAGCAAACA